CUUACCGGGACCGACAGCAAUAUGAAGGCCAGGCUGAAGACUUUGCCGGAUUAGCUGAGAGGUGGUGCAUGGCCGUCGUCAGUUCGUACUGUGAAGCAUCCUGUUAAGUCAGGCAACGAGCGAGACCCACGCCCACAGUUGCCAGCGUACUCUCUGGAGUGACGGGUACACUGUGGGGACCGCCGCUGCUAAAGCGGAGGAAGGAAUGGGCAACGGUAGGUCAGUAUGCCCCGAAUAUCCCGGGCUACACGCGAGCUACAAUGGUUGGUACAAUGGGUAUCUACCCCGAAAGGGGACGGGAAUCUCCUAAAACCAAUCUUAGUUCGGAUUGAGGGCUGCAACUCGCCCUCAUGAAGCUGGAAUCCGUAGUAAUCGCGUUUCAACAGAACGCGGUGAAUACGUCCCUGCUCCUU
rnacentral:rRNA from 1 species